CGCUGUCGGUUCGCCGCCCGUCGGUGUUAACUGGCAUGUCCUGUGGAACGUCCUGCCGGUGGCGGUCCGGGCUCUCGGCUUGCGUAAAGGCUCACGCCCGAAGCAGGCCGAACGGUACCGGCCGCCGGUCCAAUCCCGCCACGGUGCUCUUCACCGAGUGUCGAGGUGGGCCGGCACGUUUACUUUGAACAAAUUAGAGUGCUUAAAGCAGGCUGGUGUCCGCCUGAAUACUGUGUGCAUGGAAUAAUGGAAUAGGACCUCGGUUCUAUUUUGUUGGUUUUCGGAACCCGAGGUAAUGAUUAAUAGGGACAGGCGGGGGCAUUCGUAUUGCGACGUUAGAGGUGAAAUUCUUGGAUCGUCGCAAGACGAACCUAAGCGAAAGCAUUUGCCAAGUAUGUUCUCGUUAAUCAAGAACGAAAGUUAGAGGUUCGAAGGCGAUCAGAUACCGCCCUAGUUCUAACCAUAAACGAUGCCAGCCAGCGAUCCGCCGAAGUUCCUCCGAUGACUCGGCGGGCAGCUUCCGGGAAACCAAAGCUUUUGGGUUCCGGGGGAAGUAUGGUUGCAAAGCUGAAACUUAAAGGAAUUGACGGAAGGGCACCACCAGGAGUGGAGCCUGCGGCUUAAUUUGACUCAACACGGGAAACCUCACCAGGCCCGGACACCGGAAGGAUUGACAGAUUGAGAGCUCUUUCUUGAUUCGGUGGGUGGUGGUGCAUGGCCGUUCUUAGUUGGUGGAGCGAUUUGUCUGGUUAAUUCCGAUAACGAACGAGACUCUAGCCUGCUAACUAGGCGAUUUCCGGUACCCACAAUAGUGUUACCGGCGAUUCAAUUUCUUCUUAGAGGGACAGGCGGCUCCUAGCCGCACGAGACUGAGCAAUAACAGGUCUGUGAUGCCCUUAGAUGUCCUGGGCCGCACGCGCGCUACACUGAAGGAAUCAGCGUGUCUUCCCUGGCCGACAGGCCCGGGUAACCCGUUGAACCUCCUUCGUGCUAGGGAUUGGGGCUUGCAAUUGUUCCCCAUGAACGAGGAAUUCCCAGUAAGCGCGAGUCAUAAGCUCGCGUUGAUUACGUCCCUGCCCUUUGUACACACCGCCCGUCGCUACUACCGAUUGAAUGAUUUAGUGAGGUCUUCGGACUGGUGCGCGGCGGUCGCCUUAUACUGGUGGCCGCCGAUGUUGCCGGAAAGAUGACCAAACUUGAUCAUUUAGAGGAAGUAAAAGUCGUAACAAGGUUUCC
rnacentral:rRNA from 1 species